rnacentral:rRNA from 1 species
CUGCUGCCUUCCGUAGGAGUUUGGGCCGUGUCUCAGUCCCAAUGUGGCCGUCCACCCUCUCAGGCCGGCUACUGAUCGUCGCCUUGGUGGGCCGUUACCCCGCCAACAAGCUAAUCAGACGCGG